UAUCCUGGCUCAGAUUGAACGCUGGCGGCAGGCCUAACACAUGCAAGUCGGACGGUAGCACAGAGAGCUUGCUCUUGGGUGACGAGUGGCGGACGGGUGAGUAAUGUCUGGGGAUCUGCCCGAUAGAGGGGGAUAACCACUGGAAACGGUGGCUAAUACCGCAUAACGUCGCAAGACCAAAGAGGGGGACCUUCGGGCCUCUCACUAUCGGAUGAACCCAGAUGGGAUUAGCUAGUAGGCGGGGUAAUGGCCCACCUAGGCGACGAUCCCUAGCUGGUCUGAGAGGAUGACCAGCCACACUGGAACUGAGACACGGUCCAGACUCCUACGGGAGGCAGCAGUGGGGAAUAUUGCACAAUGGGCGCAAGCCUGAUGCAGCCAUGCCGCGUGUAUGAAGAAGGCCUUCGGGUUGUAAAGUACUUUCAGCGGGGAGGAAGGCGACGGGGUUAAUAACCCUGUCGAUUGACGUUACCCGCAGAAGAAGCACCGGCUAACUCCGUG
rnacentral:rRNA from 1 species